rnacentral:rRNA from 1 species
AUUGAACGCUGGCGGCAGGCCUAACACAUGCAAGUCGAGCGGAUGAGGGGAGCUUGCUCCCUGAUUUAGCGGCGGACGGGUGAGUAAUGCCUAGGAAUCUGCCUGGUCGUGGGGGAUAACGUUCCGAAAGGAACGCUAAUACCGCAUACGUCCUACUGGAGAAAGCCGGGGACCUUCGGUCCUUGCGCUAUCAGAUGAGCCUAGGUCGGAUUAGCUAGUUGGUGAGGUAAUGGCUCACCAAGGCGACGAUCCGUAACUGGUCUGAGAGGAUGAUCAGUCACACUGGAACUGAGACACGGUCCAGACUCCUACGGGAGGCAGCAGUGGGGAAUAUUGGACAAUGGGCGAAAGCCUGAUCCAGCCAUGCCGCGUGUGUGAAGAAGGUCUUCGGAUUGUAAAGCACUUUAAGUUGGGAGGAAGGGCUGCUGGUUAAUACCCUGCAGUUUUGACGUUACCAACAGAAUAAGCACCGGCUAACUUCGUG